rnacentral:ncRNA from 1 species
CUUUGGUGGUCUUAUUGGCGCAUACCACGGUGGGGUCUUCGACUGGGGUGAAGUCGUAACAAGGUAGCCGUAGGGGAACCUGUGGCUGGAUUGAAUCCUUC